rnacentral:rRNA from 1 species
GACGAACGCUGGCGGCGUGCCUCAGACAUGCAAGUCGAACGAUUAAGACUUCCUUCGGGAAGUGUAUAAAGUGGCGCACGGGUGAGUAACACGUAAGUAAUCUACCUUCGAGUGGGGAAUAACAUCGGGAAACCGAUGCUAAUACCGCAUAAUGCAGCGGCAUCGCAAGAUGACAGUUGUUAAAGGAGCAAUUCGCUUGAAGAGGAGCUUGCGGCAGAUUAGCUAGUUGGUAAGGUAAUGGCUUACCAAGGCUACGAUCUGUAUCCGGUCUAAGAGGACGGUCGGACACACUGACACUGAAUAACGGGUCAGACUCCUACGGGAGGCAGCAGUCGGGAAUUUCGGGCAAUGGGCGAAAGCCUGACCCAGCAACGCCGCGUGAGGGAUGAAGUAUUUCGGUAUGUAAACCUCGAAAGAAUGGGAAGAAUAAAUGACGGUACCAUUUAUAAGCUCCGGCUAACUACGUGCCAGCCGCCGCGGUAAAAC